rnacentral:rRNA from 1 species
AUUGAACGCUGGCGGCAGGCUUAACACAUGCAAGUCGAGCGGGGUGAUGGUGCUUGCACUAUCACUUAGCGGCGGACGGGUGAGUAAUGCCUAGGAAUCUGCCUAUUAGUGGGGGACAACAUCUCGAAAGGGAUGCUAAUACCGCAUACGUCCUACGGGAGAAAGCAGGGGAUCACUUGUGACCUUGCGCUAAUAGAUGAGCCUAAGUCGGAUUAGCUAGUUGGUGGGGUAAAGGCCUACCAAGGCGACGAUCUGUAGCGGGUCGGAGAGGAUGAUCCGCCACACUGGGACGGAGGCACGGCCCAGACUCCUACGGGAGGCAGCAGUGGGGAAUAUGGGACAAUGGGGGGAACCCUGAUCUAGCCAUGCCGCGUGUGUGAAGAAGGCCUUAUGGUUGUAAAGCACUUUAAGCGAGGAGGAGGCUCUUUUGGUUAAUACCCAAGAUGAGUGGACGUUACUCACAGAAUAAGCACCGGCUAACUCUGUGCCAGCCGCCGCCGUAA